rnacentral:lncRNA from 1 species
ACAAACCGUUAGUAAGAAUAUAUUAGUCCUAUGUGGAGGUGAAAAGAAUAAAAUGAUUUAACAUGUGUAUCUUGCAAAGUACAACAACUUGUGUACGGGUAACAAGAAUGUGGAGAGAAGAAAAAUUAGAAAAAACAAAUAACAUGGAGUAGAUGCAUUAAAAAGAGAUGAGAAUUAAAAAAGAGCAGAUCCGAGAGGAGAGAGAAGACGUGAGGAG